AGAACGACUCGCAUGCUAGACUUCCUGCCCUCGUUCGUCGCAGCCUUCAUCCCUUCGCCGCCGCCGCCCUUCAUCCCUUCGCCGCCGCCGCCCUUCACCCCUUCAGCCGCCACCGCCAGCGAUCCCCUUCAGGAGUCGCCGCUGAUCCCCUUCAGGACACCCCUUCGCCGCCGCCGAGAUCCGAAAGGACGCCGAGAUCCCGCGCCUCCUCCUCGUCGGCCUUCACCGCAGGUGAUUGUGGUUCCUCCCGCUGCCCAGUGAUGUUCCGGUGGGGUGUAGUUAGUUGAGUUUGAUCCGCUUGGUCUCACCGUCGAUUUCGCAUCUACGCGUACCUCCGCUGAAUUUCAUGUAACUCGCGGGCGGUCCGGGCGAAUUCCUUCAGAUCUUCCUUCACCGAUGCUACAUGCACGACCUCCGCGACCACCCGCCAGCGACGGUCUGAGGUCACCGACGCGGGCCGGCAGGCGACCCAACGAUUCACCGCCGCCGUCGGGUUCGUCUCUCGGGCUGACAUACUGCGGAUCGGAACUCCGUUGGAUCCUCUGUCGUUGGCCCAUAUGCAAUUUUCCAGUCUGUGUUUUCUGCUCCUCUUUGGCGCAAUGUGGAAGAUGUUGGUUUUAAAGGCUAGCAGGGGCAGCCAGUGGUGGAGUAAUCGGUGGUUUAUUAGGUCAUGGAGCCCAAGACCGGAUGCAGCAGAAGAAGCAGCGUCGUUGCCGUGCAUUAAGCAGGUCAACAGAGUCUGUGAGGCGGAAGAUCCAUAGCAUACAGGUGACUCAGUAGGUGCUCAUUUUAUCUUUCUGCUUAUGUUCUAAUUUUAUUGUUCUUUUCCACAUUAGAGUAGAAUGAAUAUUUGUAUUAACAUCUCUUCUUGUAGUUGUAAAUCCUGUGCAUCAGUUGGGGUAAGCUUCUCAAAUGCCUAGCACCAAUUAGGCUUCUAAAACUGAAGCAUAGACAAAAUUCAGUUAAGCAUCCAAGUUUCUUUUUAAGCGGUAACUAUAUUGCUAACCGAGGGAACUUCUAUUUGUGUUGCUUGUUUUUUCUAGCACUUGAGUGUGUUUGCAGUUUUUCAACCAUCCAUCGUUGAAGCUACAGGAGCCUGGUACCAAUCAUACUACUUGGAGAACCUAAGAAAGUUGUUUAUUCUGUCUCCACUAGAAACCGGAAAUGAGAACACCAUCUCUACGUAACUGAACCAAGUGACUGAAAAUUUAUGUUAUAUGGUACAACCUCACGAGAGAAUUAUUUCUAUACACGUAGAACACAGUUACAUGUAUGCCUUCAAAGUUAUUAGUUAUUUUAAAAAAGAGUUUUGAAAUGUAUAAAUGAGCUUGGCUUUCAACCCGGCAAGGUCUAGAAUUUCUCAGUUUUGUUAACUCAUACACCAUUUUAGUUACCAUAUGUAUAAUUGUGGAUACCUGAUACUCUAAAUGCCCAUUCGGCCAGGUUGAUUUGCAAGGGCUGUGUGGAGCGAACCCUGUUCCUCUAAACCAAGGGGUCCUUAUGGCCCUUUUCCUGCAACUGGCAUGCAACACAGCCGAUGAGAUAUCCCUGAAGCUUCAAGGGAUACAAAGGUUUAUAAAAUGUUUACACAUAGUAUUUGGUUCAUAUCUCCAUUGUUUCAUGUUCGAUUGACUGCUGCGGUUCUCUUAAAUAGUUUGAAUCAUUUAGCAUUACGGGAAAGUAGUUGUAUAUCUGACAUCUGUUUGAUAAUUGAUAUCAAGGUGAAGGAUAGAUGCCGGGCUCUAGAUUAUGUACAUACAUACCAAGAUCACUUGUUUUUAAAGUUGGAGAAAUAUGGCUUUCCUAUUUUAUUGUCCAUUAAUCAACAUUUCGAAAUGCUUCUAUUAAUGCAACAAAGGUUGGAUUCAGUUUAGUAGUUUCUCAUCUCCUGAUGUGUAUAAUAGCUGUUUUGCAAACAAAUAUUUUAUGGUAUAAUUUUUUGUCUACAUUUCCAGGAUGUUAUUACUCAACCCACAUGAUUGGGAGUUAUAGAAGGACUUUAUGCCGCACAUUCCUCAGUACAUGGGGUAAAAUGCAGGAACAAUGGGAAAAUAAAAUAUUAACAGAGGUUGCGGUUGGAGAACCUCAGAAUCAUGCUCUUUUCUGAAAUCCAGUUAGCUGGAGUAAUCCCCCUUUGGAAACAUUGAUGGAAACUCAAUAUUAUCCAAGGAACUUUCGUUCCAUAGGCUCUCUCUGUCCCCUCAAGUAAGCAGGUCAUACAUUAGGAUGCUCAAGUUACAGUGGCUUGAUGUAGGCAAGUAACUUUCACACAUUUUCUCUUCCAACCAUCCCAACCCCGCCGAGCUCAUGAUGUUAGGCCCGGGCGUGGGUGCCGGGAGAACCUGACCGUGCCUCGCGCGAAAGACUUCCCCACAUUCGCGUGCCGCCACCAGAGCAGCAAGGCGCACAAAGGAUGGGCGACAUCGGGCUUGCGCCGUGUACAGGGUGUGCAGGAGAGGAGGCAUGGUUCAAGGUCGUCUCUUCUGCCACGUGUAUAUGUAUAUUACCAGCUUGCGCCUCACUGGCCAGUAAUGAUUAUUGGGUUUCUUGUUACGCUUUCAACCUCGGAGAGCGAUUUAUGUUUUAAUUUCUUGGUAGUCAGUAAUGUUGUGACACUAUCUUUUUUGCACCCUUGUGAUUUCUGUGAUGUGAUGUGCUGCUACUUCACAACUUUGCAAAGGAAUGAAUUAUAUCACUGAUA